rnacentral:rRNA from 1 species
GAUGAACGCUAGCGGCGUGCCUAAUGCAUGCAAGUCGAACGGGAUCUCUUGGACUCGUCUGAGAGUGAGAGUGGCGAACGGGUGAGUAACACGUUGGUGACCUGCCCCAGAGAGGGGGAUAACCACUGGAAACGGUGGCUAAUACCCCGGAUGUUAAGAAGGUUAGAGUCUUCUUGACUAAAGCUCCGGCGCUCUGGGAGGGGCCUGCGGCCCAUCAGCUAGUUGGUAAGGUAAUGGCUUACCAAGGCAAAGACGGGUAGGGGGCGUGAGAGCGUGACCCCCCACACUGGUACUGACACACGGACCAGAUACCUACGGGUAGCAGCAGCAAGGAAUAUUGCCCAAUGGACGAAAGUCUGAGGCAGCAACGCCGCGUGAAGGAUGAAGGCUUUCGGGUUGUAAACUUCUUUUCUGGGGGAAGAGAAAGGACGGUACCCCAGGAAUAAGGUCCGGCUAACUACG